CGGUUGGGUGACAGCGGAGGGACAUUACCGAGUUUACAACUCCCAAACCCAAUGUGAACCAUACCAAACUGUUGCCUCGGCGGGGUCACGCCCCGGGUGCGUCGCAGCCCCGGAACCAGGCGCCCGCCGGAGGGACCAACCAAACUCUUUUCUGUAGUCCCCUCGCGGACGUUAUUUCUUACAGCUCUGAGCAAAAAUUCAAAAUGAAUCAAAACUUUCAACAACGGAUCUCUUGGUUCUGGCAUCGAUGAAGAACGCAGCGAAAUGCGAUAAGUAAUGUGAAUUGCAGAAUUCAGUGAAUCAUCGAAUCUUUGAACGCACAUUGCGCCCGCCAGUAUUCUGGCGGGCAUGCCUGUCCGAGCGUCAUUUCAACCCUCGAACCCCUCCGGGGGGUCGGCGUUGGGGACCUCGGGAGCCCCUAAGACGGGAUCCCGGCCCCGAAAUACAGUGGCGGUCUCGCCGCAGCCUCUCCUGCGCAGUAGUUUGCACAACUCGCACCGGGAGCGCGGCGCGUCCACGUCCGUAAAACACCCAACUUCUGAAAUGUUGACCUCGGAUCAGGUAGGAAUACCCGCUGAACUUAAGCAUAUCUAAAGCGGGAAAGAAAAAGACCUUUUUAACCCCACCGC
rnacentral:rRNA from 1 species